rnacentral:rRNA from 1 species
GACGAACGCUCGCCCCUUUCUUCCCACAUUCACUUCGAACGUAAAUGCCCUGCUUUUUUGUUGUGCUCGAGUGGCGAACGGGUGAGUAACACGUGAGUAACCUGCCCUUGACUUUGGGAUAACUUCAGGAAACUGGGGCUAAUACCGGAUAGGAGCUCCUGCUGCAUGGUGGGGGUUGGAAAGUUUCGGCGGUUGGGGAUGGACUCGCGGCUUAUCAGCUUGUUGGUGGGGUAGUGGCUUACCAAGGCUUGUCCGGGUAGCCGGCCUGAGAGGGUGACCGGCCACAUUGGGACUGAGAUACGGCCCAGACUCCUACGGGAGGCAGCAGUGGGGAAUAUUGCACAAUGGGCGGAAGCCUGAUGCAGCAACGCCGCGUGCGGGAUGAAGGAAUUCGGGUUGUAAACCGCUUUCGCCUGUGACGAAGCGUGAGUGACGGUAAUGGGUAAAGAAGCAAAGGAUAAAUACGGG